UGGUGGAUCCUGAGGUGGUGGAACAGGGCCUAGAACGACUACAAAGAAUGUUAAUCUCUUACGAUCUUAUAGCUCAUUUUUACAAUAACCACCCUGCCAAAAACUUACAAAUACAAGUAGAAUAAGAUCUUUUGAGAUAAAUUCAAUCUACCUAGAGUAACAAUAUUUAGAUUUUCCUUAUCAUCUCCUUAAUACUUAGUUUUGAGAUUGUUGUAUUUUAUAACACUAGAAGUUACGGAAAGUGAAUCAGAAUUUUCUACUUUGUGGUGAUCAAAGUUGACUCUUCUGAGUAAAAAUGGUAUUUUUAUUCCAUGAAAAUGUCUUAAUGAAAAACUCAUUUUGUGUGAACUAUAGUAAUAGGCAUGUUUGUGCACUAUUAAAACAAACAAGAAGGGAGAAGUAUUUCUGGAAUUAUAGAGUAAGUAUCUCAAAAAUUCUGCUCCUUCAUAAAGGCCAUGAGAACUUUGGCAAAAAUUGUCAAAAUCAACUUAUUCCACACUCUGGAAUUAAACAAAGAGUUGCAAUUUUUUUUUUUUUAAAUUAAGCAGAACAACUGAACCUUAAAAAAACAGCAAACUCUGUGGCAUGUUAAUUUUCCCUAUUUCCAUCCCCUUCCUCCGAGCUCUGUGGUAUCCUGAAAGCAAAUGGCCUCACAACUAGAGUAACUGAAAAUUGGCAGUCUAGCAACCACUGUAUGUGGCAGAACAGGUUUAGACCUCCCCAAAAUCCCUAACCCAAGAGAAUCAUUACUAUUUGACCUGAAUGGCAAUUUCCUGAAAAGUUCCAUUCUCAAGAUUUGUCUUUAUUUGCCUUGAUUCAGAGCUAGCUCUGUGAAAGUAAACCUAUUCCAAAGGCAUUUGUUAAAAAAAAAAAAAAAAUCAUUGACCAUUGGUGGCUUGAAGCAGCAAUACCAGUCAGGGCUAACAAGAGGCUGAUGAAAAUGCAAAAGAAAAAACUAGAGAAUAAGGUGUUCAUAGAGAACUUUGAAAAAGUUCUAUGUAUUUCUGAGAAUAUAGGACAUGUGCUUAUGCAGGUCUAUUUGUAUGCUCCAGAAACACCUGAGAAGACUCUAAUCUCUCACCUCUGGCUGACCUUGAAUCUGUGCAGUCAGGAAGUAAAGGCUAAGGCAGAAUUGUAAACUGGCCAGUGGAGUGUUGAAGAUGCACCCUAACAUGCAGCGAGAGCCCUUCAGCAAAGGCUGGGAGACUUGAUGUUUCAAGGAGAAACUACAACUGAAUUGUACUUUAAACAGAAAUGGGCUCUUCUUGCAUUGAUGGGCAAUUUACAAGAAGCAGGAAAUACUACACAAUUAUCUGCUUGCCUGGGUUUCAUCAUGUGGUAAAUGCAAGAAUUGGAACUUUCCAGAAAGUCUGAACACAUUGCCCUACUUGAACUGAUACGAUAACAGCUGCCUGGGGACCCUGCUGGGCAGCUUGGGCCUUUUGUCCUCCACCUGUGUCCAGCUAUUAGAGUUAUGCUGUGAUAAGUACUGAUUCAAGGCUGAGGGACUGGCUGCCUUCCAGGAUCCCAUUGUUUAUGCCCUUUCUUGUAGUGAAUGUUCUGUUUCUGUAAUAACUGAUGUUGCUGAAUCUGAUCAAGAACCCAGGUGUCCCACCUCUUGCAGAUCCAUGUCAUCUUGAAGGUUCAGGAAUCCAUAGUCUACUUGGAAAAGAGGAGUAAAGGAAGAAGGAAGGAAAUAUUAAUUGCCUUGACUCAAAAAUAUGGUGAGAGAACUUUGCAACAUACAGAAGGUUAAAAGAUUGCAGCAGCUUCUUGACAGCUUGAUUGUGGUUUGUUUUACAUAAUGCUGUUUGCUGUAUGAAGACAGAUCCUUAUCUAGCAGAGAUGAGAAGCAGAACAAGGCCCACCCUGACUUCCCACCUUGCUGUUAUCAAGCUGCAUGUGACAAAUGAAUCAACAGGAAAUUUUGCUGGAAGAAGUUGAUGGUUGGGGAUUUCACAGCAAGCAGCGAGUGGUUUAUAAAUAUCAUGAGACCAAGCACUGACCUUGCCCCCACUUCAAUGUGUUGGGGUCCAUGUUAAAAAUAAGACGAGUAUAUGUCAAAAGCAAACCACUGGCUUUGGGGAAGUGUUUUGUUCUCUGGGAAGCAUCCCUUGUCUGAUAUGGUACAUGAUGUUCCAGCUCAUACUGUCCAGAUGUACAGCUAAACCUUUCU